rnacentral:rRNA from 1 species
UACGAAGGGAGCUAGCGUUGUUCGGAAUCACUGGGCGUAAAGCGCACGUAGGCGGAUGUGUCAGUCAGGGGUGAAAUCCCGGAGCUCGACUUCGGAACUGCCUUUGAUACAGCACGUCUUGAGUCCGAUAGAGGUGGGUGGAAUUCCUAGUGUAGAGGUGAAAUUCGUAGAUAUUAGGAAGAACACCGGUGGCGAAGGCGGCCCACUGGAUCGGUACUGACGCUGAGGUGCGAAAGCGUGGGGAGCAAACAGG